CCUACGGGAGGCAGCAGUGGGGAAUUUUGGACAAUGGGCGCAAGCCUGAUCCAGCCAUGCCGCGUGUGGGAAGAAGGCCUUCGGGUUGUAAACCACUUUUGUCAGGGAAGAAACGGUUCUUACUAAUAUUGGGAACUAAUGACGGUACCUGAAGAAUAAGCACCGGCUAACUACGUGCCAGCAGCCGCGGUAAUACGUAGGGUGCAAGCGUUAAUCGGAAUUACUGGGCGUAAAGCGUGCGCAGGCGGCUUUGCAAGACAGAUGUGAAAUCCCCGGGCUCAACCUGGGAACUGCAUUUGUGACUGCAUGGCUAGAGUACGGUAGAGGGGGAUGGAAUUCCGCGUGUAGCAGUGAAAUGCGUAGAUAUGCGGAGGAACACCGAUGGCGAAGGCAAUCCCCUGGACCUGUACUGACGCUCAUGCGCGAAAGCGUGGGGAGCAAACAGGAUUAGAUACCCUGGUAGUCCACGCCCUAAACGAUGUCAACUGGUUGUUGGACGGCUUGCUGUUCAGUAACGAAGCUAACGCGUGAGUUGACCGCCUGGGGNGACGGCCGCGAGUAGAACGUAAAGUAGAGUUAGACGGCGUGAGACGUGACCGACGGACGACGACGAGGGAGGAGG
rnacentral:rRNA from 1 species